rnacentral:antisense_RNA from 3 species
AUCAAUGGUGGGCCGGAUGGGGGAGCCGAAAGGCCCGCCGGGUCCUGUUUAGCCGGUAAUGCGAACUCCGUCCAGCUCGCCGCCUAU